rnacentral:rRNA from 1 species
UACGUAGGCAGCGAGCGUUGUCCGGAUUCAUUGGGCGUAAAGCGCGCGUAGGCGGCUCCGCAAGUCGGCCGUGAAAUCUCCGGGCUCAACUCGGAGGGGUCGGGCGAGACUGCGGGGCUCGAGGUGGGCAGAGGGCAGUGGAAUUCCGGGUGUAGUGGUGGAAUGCGUAGAGAUCCGGAGGAACACCAGUGGCGAAGGCGGCUGCCUGGGCCUGGCCUGACGCUGAGGCGCGAAAGCGUGGGGAGCGAUCCGG